UUGAACGCUGGCGGAAUGCUUUACACAUGCAAGUCGAGCGGCAGCGCGGGGCAACCUGGCGGCGAGCGGCGAACGGGUGAGUAAUAUAUCGGAACGUACCCUGUCGUGGGGGAUAACACAUCGAAAGAUGUGCUAAUACCGCAUACGACCUGAGGGUGAAAGCGGGGGAUCGCAAGACCUCGCGCGAUAGGAGCGGCCGAUAUCGGAUUAGCUAGUUGGUGAGGUAAAGGCUCACCAAGGCGACGAUCCGUAGCUGGUCUGAGAGGACGACCAGCCACACUGGAACUGAGACACGGUCCAGACUCCUACGGGAGGCAGCAGUGGGGAAUUUUGGACAAUGGGCGAAAGCCUGAUCCAGCCAUGCCGCGUGAGUGAAGAAGGCCUUCGGGUUGUAAAGCUCUUUCAGCCGGAAAGAAAUCGCGCAGGCUAAUACUCUGCGUGGAUGACGGUACCGGAAGAAGAAGCACCGGCUAACUACGU
rnacentral:rRNA from 1 species